rnacentral:rRNA from 1 species
UACCAGCUCCUCGAGUGGUCGGGACGAUUAUUGGGCCUAAAGCACCCGUAGCCGGUUCCGUAAGUCCUCUGUUAAAUCCAGUCGCUCAACGGCUGGUCUGCAGAGGAUACUGCAGGACUAGGAGGCGGGAGAGGCGGACGGUACUCCGCGUGUAGGGGUAAAAUCCUUUGAUCCGCGGAAGACCACCAGAUAGUCAGCGGUCAACCCACUGACUUGGUGAAUGGCGAAGGCGGUCCGCCAGAACG